rnacentral:rRNA from 1 species
GAUGAACGCUGGCGGCGUGCCUAAUACAUGCAAGUCGAGCGAACAGACGAGGAGCUUGCUCCUCUGACGUUAGCGGCGGACGGAUGAGUAACACGUGGAUAACCUACCUAUAAGACUGGGAUAACUUCGGGAAACCGGAGCUAAUACCGGAUAAUAUAUUGAACCGCAUGGUUCAAUAGUGAAAGACGGUUUUGCUGUCACUUAUAGAUGGAUCCGCGCCGCAUUAGCUAGUUGGUAAGGUAACGGCUUACCAAGGCGACGAGGCGUAGCCGACCUGAGAGGGUGAACGGCCACACUAGAACUGAGACACGGUCCAGACUCCGACGGGGGGCAGCGGUAGGGAAUCUUCCGCGAUGGGCGAAAGCCUGACGGAGCAACGCCGCGUGAGUGAUGAAGGUCUUCGGAUCGUAAAACUCUGUAAUUAGGGAGGAACAAAUGUGUAAGUAACUAUGCACGUCUUGACGGUACCUGAGCAGAAAGCCACGGCUAACUACGUG